UACGUAGGUGGCAAGCGUUACUCGGAAUCACUAGGCGUAAAGCGCAGGUAGGCGGUUCGGUAAGUCUCUUGUGAAAGCUCCCGGCUCAACUGGGAGAGGUCAAGGGAAACUGCCGGGCUAGAGUGUGGCAGAGGAAGCUGGAAUUCCCGGUGUAGCGGUGAAAUGCGUAGAUAUCAGGAGGAACACCUGCGGUGUAGACGGCUUACUGGACCAUCACUGACGCUGAGGCACGAAAGCGUGGGUAGCAAACAGG
rnacentral:rRNA from 1 species